rnacentral:lncRNA from 1 species
AUUCAAACUCGGAGAAGAAAACUACUGAGGUGCUCUGGGCUUUUCUUCAGCUCCAUGAUAAUGAACACACACCUACCAGACCAGCAGACUGUGCUGCUCCUGCCUGGCCUCACUCCUGGAGAUGGCUCAGUGCGUCGGAUCCAGGUCUGACCUGAGCUAUGAUUAUGUGACAGUUCAAGUUAUGCUACAUUGAUUGUUUCUUCCCCAGAGACUAGAAGAGUUAAUCUACUUCAGCGGUGACUUGAUCAGCACUUAAAUCUUAAGGAAAAAAAAACAAAAAUGAGAAUAAAGGAUACGGGAUAGGGAACUUCUCCUUAGAUUAAGUCACUAAAUGUCAGAUCUAUGUAAAGGCUUUGUCUGGUGUAAAUCAAGAUAAAAACAGUAUGAAAUUUCUUGCAUGCUAUCUGCUUUGAAUUUAUUUAGCUCUUGCUGUUACCCAAAGCUAAUAAUCCUGGACAGUCUGAGUGCCUGGAGUGUGUUGGUCUGUUGCUGAAUCCAGCUGGAUGUCACUCUGGAAGGGUAACCUGCACUCUAAUGAGCCCCACUCAGCCAGUGGACACCACGUGCACUCAGCAUCACAUGGCAUGACCCAGGAUUUAGACAGCUGUUGUACAUCACUGCCUGAAAUGCAGGGAGAAGUUUUAUUUCAGCUCCUCAUUAUUUUAAAGCAACCUGCAAAAAUUAUCACUGGAAAAAAUAGCCAAGGUGCAGCGCUGUCUCUGAGAGCUCUGCACACCUGUGGAUCCGUCUGCAGGCACUGUGCGGUGUGGGCACCAGGUGAGGUGACCCACAGCCAUGGGUGCUUUGAUUGGAGAAUGGGAUGU